CCUACGGGUGGCAGCAGUGGGGAAUAUUGGACAAUGGGGGCAACCCUGAUCCAGCCAUGCCGCGUGUGUGAAGAAGGCCCUCGGGUUGUAAAGCACUUUCAGUGGGGAAGAACGCCUGGUGGUUAAUACCCAUCAGGAAAGACAUCACUCACAGAAGAAGCACCGGCUAACUCCGUGCCAGCAGCCGCGGUAAUACGGAGGGUGCGAGCGUUAAUCGGAAUUACUGGGCGUAAAGCGCGCGUAGGUGGCUUGAUAAGCCGGUUGUGAAAGCCCCGGGCUCAACCUGGGAACGGCAUCCGGACCUGUCAAGCUAGAGUGCAGGAGAGGAAGGUAGAAUUCCCGGUGUAGCGGUGAAAUGCGUAGAGAUCGGGAGGAAUACCAGUGGCGAAGGCGGCCUUCUGGACUGACACUGACACUGAGGUGCGAAAGCGUGGGUAGCACACAGGAUUAGAUACCCUGGUAGUC
rnacentral:rRNA from 1 species